CCUGUCUGACCCUGAGUCCUUCCUGCUCUGCUGACUGGGUGCUGAGAAGGAAAGUUCUUCAGUACCUCUCUCCACUGCCUCUGGAAGUGCUGGAUUCCUCAGAACCCAGAGGGCCACUGCGGCUGGAUACCUGGAACGAUGCCCUGCAGCAGUCUUCAAGGCCAGUCCAGCGACCACCUCUGCAGUAAAGCUCCCAGGGAUUGGGCUCUCCUCGACCCCCUGGAACUCCCUACUACAUGCCCCCCAGGACCCUGGUCUCAGCCACCUCAACUCUUACUUGUCUUCGGAGCCUCUGCACUGUCUCUGGACUAGACUGUAAGUUCCCGGAGGCGAGGAAUGAAUCCAACAGCCCUUCUCAGUCCUAGCACCAGCUAGAACAGUGCCCGGACACAGGAGUCUCUCCACAGACCGUCACGUUUGACGCUGAUCCUCUAAACCAGUUCUCUCCCUUCUAUGCGUUCAUUUUCUCAAAGGCCGACUAUGUGCCAAGCCACUUUUACCCACGUGAGCUCAUCUAAUCCUCCCAGCAUCCCUAGAAGGGGAAGUUAAUAUUGUCCCCACUUUUGCAGGUGAAGAAACUGAGGCUCAGAGAAGAACUUACCUGCCUAAAGUCAUACUGCCAGGACCACAGAGGUAGAACUAAACAGCUAAGUGUGUUUCACCCCAGA